rnacentral:tRNA from 1 species
GGAAUUGUGGCUCAGUGGCAGAGCACUCAUCUAACAUGUGUGAGGCCCUGGGUUCAAUCCUCAGCACCA